GAUGAACGCUAGCUACAGGCUUAACACAUGCAAGUCGCGGGGCAGCAUGUCGGUUGCUUGCAACCGAUGAUGGCGACCGGCGCACGGGUGAGUAACGCGUAUCCAACCUGCCCUUCACCACGGAAUAAUCCAGUGAAAAUUGGUCUAAUACCGUAUGAGGUCAUACGAUGGCAUCAGAAUAUGACGAAAGGUUUGCGGUGAAGGAUGGGGAUGCGUCUGAUUAGCUUCUUGGUGAGGUAACGGCUCACCAAGGCGACGAUCAGUAGGGGUUCUGGGAGGAAGGUCCCCCACAUUGGAACUGAGACACGGUCCAAACUCCUACGGGAGGCAGCAGUGAGGAAUAUUGGUCAAUGGGCGAGAGCCUGAACCAGCCAAGUAGCGUGCAGGAAGACGGCCCUAUGGGUUGUAAACUGCUUUUAUAUGGGGAUAAAGUGAGCUACGUGUAGUUUAUUGCAGGUACCAUAUGAAUAAGGACCGGCUAAUUCCGUGCCAGCAGCCGCCGUAA
rnacentral:rRNA from 1 species